rnacentral:rRNA from 1 species
GACGAACGCUGGCGGCGUGCCUAACACAUGCAAGUCGAGCGAUGAAGUUUCCUUCGGGAAAUGGAUUAGCGGCGGACGGGUGAGUAACACGUGGGUAACCUGCCUCAUAGAGGGGAAUAGCCUCCCGAAAGGGAGAUUAAUACCGCAUAAUAUUACAGUUUCGCAUGAAACAGUAAUUAAAGGAGUAAUCCGCUAUGAGAUGGACCCGCGGCGCAUUAGCUAGUUGGUGAGGUAACGGCUCACCAAGGCGACGAUGCGUAGCCGACCUGAGAGGGUGAUCGGCCACAUUGGGACUGAGACACGGCCCAGACUCCUACGGGAGGCAGCAGUGGGGAAUAUUGCACAAUGGGGGAAACCCUGAUGCAGCAACGCCGCGUGAGUGAUGACGGUCUUCGGAUUGUAAAACUCGGUCUUUGGGGACGAUAAUGACGGUACCCAAGGAGGAAGCCACGGCUAACUACGUGCCAGCAGCCGCCGUAAAAC